AAAUAAUGUUUUUUUUUUAACUUAAAAUUGUAUGGUUCAAUUAGUAUGAAAGUAUGAAAAGACAAAUUAAACACGUACAAAAAGGUGAAUAAACAAAUGAAAAUUACAGAUUCUGGAAAUUACACGCUUGAACAUAACAGAGAGGAGGAGGAGGAGUAGGAGAUAACUCUGUUAUAAGGAAAAGAAUAUAAUGCAAAAACAAGUAUUAAUAAGGAAAGCAGGAGAAAACAAAUGAAAGUUAAUAUUAAUUAAUCCAUCAUCUAUAUAUUUCUGCAAAGCAGUUGUAAAAGAUUUGUGACAUUUCUCAAUCAAUUCUAGUUCUGAGGGAUAAUCUCGCAGGGAAAAAGGAUUAAGUAAACCCAAUUAAUGCCACCAGAGAAGGCACAACUCUGCGAGAGGACACUGUUGAAAUUUUUCUUCUUUCCAACAAAAUUUUAAAAUUUAUUUUCUAGUAUUUUUUUAAUACCUUUCUCAUUUUCAAAUGAUAAAUUUAUUAUGUUUUUAUAUUUAUUUUAUUUUUUAGUUCGUG
rnacentral:misc_RNA from 1 species